UGAGGAAUAUUGGUCAAUGGGCGAGAGCCUGAACCAGCCAAGUAGCGUGCAGGAUGACGGCCCUCCGGGUUGUAAACUGCUUUUAGUUGGGAAUAAAAAAAGGGACUUGUCCCUUCUUGUAUGUACCUUCAGAAAAAGGACCGGCUAAUUCCGUGCCAGCAGCCGCGGUAAUACGGAAGGUCCAGGCGUUAUCCGGAUUUAUUGGGUUUAAAGGGAGCGUAGGCGGAUUGUUAAGUCAGCGGUUAAAGGGUGUGGCUCAACCAUGCAUUGCCGUUGAAACUGGCGAUCUUGAGUGCAGACAGGGAUGCCGGAAUUCGUGGUGUAGCGGUGAAAUGCUUAGAUAUCACGAAGAACUCCGAUCGCGAAGGCAGGUGUCCGGGCUGCAACUGACGCUGAGGCUCGAAAGUGUGGGUAUCAAACAGGAUUAGAUGCCCUGGUAGUCCACACAGUAAACGAUGUAUACUCGCGGUUUGCGAUAGACAGUAAGCCGCCAAGCGAAAGCAUUAAGUAUACCACCUGGGGAGUACGCCGGCAACGGUG
rnacentral:rRNA from 1 species